UGACCACAGGGCAGGGGAGAGGUGGUGAGGGUCUGGCAUGGGGCAGGGGGGAUGCAGGGAAGGGUGGACAGGAGAGGCUGGGGACGGGACUGAGGGCCGAGGAGGCGGUCAGUUGGCGGACGGAGGAGCCCCCAAGGACAGGGAGCUUGGGCAGAGGGUUACGUCAGGGGCUGUCACGGGCUCAUUCCCGGGGACAGCAGUGGGCCCCCCGGAGGCCGCCGCAUGUACAGCUAGGUGGAUGGUCUGGGCUAGAGAGGGGAAUUUUAGGAAAUGAGAGAAGAAUCCCGCUUCUGGGCUGUCAGCGCAAGGGUCGCAGCGUGCCCACCAGCAAACAAGCGAAGUUUGCCAAAGUAAUAAAAACAAAGAAAGGCCCAUUUACGGUCUCCGGAAAUCGUCCGAAGGAUAUGCAGCAAAUGAGGAAACAUGUGCUCAAGAAAACUCACUGAAACUUGUCGAGAUCCUCUCCCUUCCUCGCGGCCACCGACCAGCGUGAUGAAGUUCUGCUCUGGGCAGAUGUGGCCGGGGGGGGGGGGGGCGCUCGCUUUCAGCUCCCAGCCACGGGUCAGGGUGUGUCAGCGGGGGCCGCCCACCAGCGCCCUCGCCCUCCCAACUCCAGUGGAGGGUGUCCCCCCCCCCCCGCACGUCCUCCUGUCCCUUCGUCAUAUGGAGGCUGUACCCCCUGUGGUGGGCUGGCCAGCCUGGGCCAUGACCGCUCUUGCCUCAGCUGCUUCAUAAGACAGAGUCCACGCCGGAGAACUGACCGUGAAGACCAGAGGCUACCGUCCCGCCCGGUGCCCAGAGGAGCGGCUCAGAAACGCAGACCCGGGAGAGGCCGUCAGCUGGAAGAGAGCGCACCAAAAUGUCUCCAGAGGAACCGACUUCAUUUGAAACAGAGUGAGGAAGUUCAAGCCCAAGUUGCCCUUCUUGGCCCACAGCAACUCGCUAAGCACUGGGCCAACGAGCACCCUGGCCGGGACCCAAGCAGGAGACACCUCCUCCGAGACCCCCUGGGUCAGAACAGUCCUCCGAGUCCUCAAAACCCAGCCCUGCCUGAGUGUGCUGGGGUUAUUCCCGGGCAAUUCCCGCCCAGCACAGUGGAGCAGCCGGCUGCUGAUGAGCGGAGCCUGGCAGGCGAUGGCACUGGAGGCGAGGCGGGCAGCGGAGCGGAGGGGUCAGGGGAGCCCUGCUAAUCCUCACAAGGGUGACUGCCCAAGCCCGAGGCUGAGCCUCUGGGUGCGACACCAAAGUGGACGUCCCAAGCAACCCGGCCAAGACCACAAACGGACAGACAGACAACAAAACAAUCUGAAAAUCCAUUAAUGUAAUCUGCACCAUCAGUAGAAUAAGGGACAAAAAAACACACGAUCGUCUCUGUGGAUGCGGAAAGAACAGUUGACAAAAUUCAAACCCCUUCGUGAUAAAUGCACUUAACAAACAAGGAACCAAAGGGAAGUCCUUCAACCCGACCAAGGGUAUCUGUGAAAAAUGUGCAGGGCACUGAAAGCUUGGAGACUGACCGCUCUCCCCCUAAGAUCAGGAGUGACAGAACGUCCACUGUGCACUGGAGGGUCCCUGGGGGGUUAGGUGAGGAAAGGAAACACAAGGCAUCCGUGUUAGAAAGGAAGAGGUAAGACUGUCUCUGUCUGCGGAUGACGUGGUCUUGUGUAUGUGAAACCCAAGGGAUCCCCUCAACCCUGGUGGAGCUAAUAAAUAGUUCAGCAAGUUGCCAGUUACAAAAUCAGCAUGCAAAAUAAAUCGUUUUUCUGUUUAGUCACAAUGAGCCAACUAAAAUAAGGACAACAGUCCAUCUACAAGAGCAUCAAAACGAAUAAGUAAGGAAUCGGGAAUAAGUUUAACCACAGACGUGCACACUUACACUCUGAAAACUAUAAAACAUUGUUGAAAGGAAUUGAAUCUAAAUAAGUCUAAAGAUAGAUCUAAAUAAUAAUCCAAAUUAUCUAAGUAAAUAUGCACACAACCUAAAUUGGAUCUUAAAUAAAUGGAAAGACAGUCAUGUGUAUGGGCCCGGAGAUUUAAUACUGUUAAAUGUGGUAAUACUUCCCACAGUGAUCUACAGAUCCAACGUGAUGGAAAUCUAAGCUGACCUCUUUGUGUGCAUAGAAAAAUGCAUCCCAAACUUUGUAUGGUCACAUAAGGGGCCCUAAAUAGCUAAAACAAUCUUGAAAAAGAAGAACAAAGUUGGAUGACUCGCACUUCCUGGUCUCAGCACUUACUAUGGAAGCUGCAAAGGUGAAGACCGUCUGGUGCUGACACAGGACGUACGGCUGGUCAGGGGGAGAGAGUGAAGAGACCCAGGACCAAAACCUCACGUUUGAGCUCCACAUUCAAAGGAAUAAGUUCGGAUCCCAACCUCACACCAAAUACAAAAAGUGAGUCAAAAUGAAUCGGGGACCCAAUUGUAAGAGCCAAAACUAUAAAACUUUUGUUUUAUCUAAAAAUUUUAUUUGGAAGUUAUCUCUACACCCAAAGUGGGGCUCGAACUCGUGACCCUGAGAUCAAGAGUCACAUGCUCCCCCUAUUGAGCCAGCUGGGUGUCCCCAAACUAUAAAACUUUUAGAAGGAAACAUAGGUAUAAAUCUUUGUGCCCUUGGAUUAGGUGAAUGGUUUCUUAAACAUGACAUCAAAAGCAUAACAGCAAAGGAAAAAAUAGGUAAGUUAGAUUUCAUCAAGAGUAAAAACUUUUGUGCAUCAAAGGAACUAUCAAGAAAAAUGAAAAAAUAGCCCAGAGAAAGAGAAAAAAUAUUUGCCAAUCAUAAACCUGAUAACAAUUUGUAUCUAGGAUAUAUAAAUUAUAGAACGUGCAAUUACAACUCAGUAAUAAAAAGGUAAAUGAAUUUAAAAAUGAGCACAGGAUCUGAACAGACAUUUCUCCAUCGAAGAAGAUAUGUAAAUGGCCAACAAGUGCAGGAAAAGACACUCGACGUCAUUAGCCAUCAGGGACACGCACAUCAAAAGCACAAAGAAGUGAGCGCCUGGGUGGCUCAGUCAGCUAAGCAUCAGACUUUGGCUCAGGUCAUGAUCUUGUGGUCUGUGGGUUCGAGCCCCACAUCGGGCUCUGUGCUGGCGGUUCAGAGCCUGGAGCCUGCUUCGGAUUCUGUGUCUCCGUCUCGCUCUGCCCCUCCCCUGCUCAUGCUCUGUUUCUGUCUGUCCCCAAAAUAAACAUAAAAAAAAAUUAAAAAAAAUAAAUAAAAUCUUAAAAAAAAAAGCACAAAGAGGUACCAUUUCAUACCCACCAGGAUGACUGCCAUCUGAAGGACAGGUGAUAAAAAGUGCUGGCCAAGGCUGUGAAGCCAUCGGAAGCCUCCCCCCUUGCUGGUCAGAAUGGCAUGUGGGGAACCCACUUUGGAAAAAAGUCUAGCAGUUCCGCUGGUUAAACGUAGGCCAAUCGGAUGACAUGGUAAUUCCACUGCUAGGUAUUUACGGAGACAAAUGACAACAUGUCCUCACACAAAAUCUUGCACAUUAACGUUUGUAGCGGUGUGAUUCACCCUAGCCAAAAAAGCCGAAAAAUCAGAUGUCUGCCAGGUGUAAGAAACGUGAUGUAUCCAAACAAUAGAAUAUUAUUCAGCCAUGAAAAGGGUUGGAGCACUGACCCACAGGACAGCCUGGUGAACCUUGCAAACGUGAGUGACAGAUGUCGGUCACAAAGGGCCAUGCGGUGUGUGGCUCAAUGGACAGGAUAUUGCUAGAACGGACAGAUCUGUGGAUAUGGGGCGUGAAUUUGUGGUUGCCCGGGGCUGGGGGCAGGUGGAGGGCUGGGGUGAGGGCGAAGGGAGCAGGAUUUCUUUCUUUUUCUUGGGGUGAUAAAAAUAUCCACCUCCGAUCGGUUGUGGAGACGGGUGCACAGCUCAGUGGAUGCACUAGGAUCGUGCACUUCAGAUGGGCGAGUUGUACGGGACGUGAAUUAUAUCACAAUAAAGCAGUUAAAUAGCAUGACAGACUAAAACCGUUAACCACAGUAAGAGCUCCUGCAUCCACCCCACUGGGAGGCGGGGGCAGGAGGGCACGAAUCUGAAGACAUUCAGCUUUUGGGUCCCAAAGAUGAAGGCCAUGUCCAUGCCACAUGGUCUUUCUGGGGCCCGAGCCAACUUAUCAUUUUUAUGGAGUUGCUUUUCCACUUGUGGCCAUAUUUGUAAUUAGUUUGGAAACCAUUAAAUGUCUUAUGACUCUUGUUUCUUUUAAGUCAAAAUUCUCUGCUAAUUACUAACCAUAAUUUUAAAGACAGAAGGGCACAAGCUGAGACUUGGUGCACAUCUCUCUGACUCGUGCACAUGUGUAGGGACUUUUCAUUAGCCUGGCGAUGAGGUUAUGCAUAUGCAUGAACUGAAUGUUCUCUUUUUUCUUGGCAGGGAUGCUGACCUCCUACCCCAGAGCCUAAGACAAAAUCAGACCCACACCACGCCACGCAGGGCUGUUUGGAGAAGGAUCCAGGUGUCUGCAUUUCCACUGCUGUAGAGGCGUCUGGGCUUCAGGCGAUCUACGCCCACUGGCCUCUCAGCCAGGGAACAUCUCCUUUGAGGGUGCUAUGACUGGAUGGAUGGGUUCAGUCCAGCCCAUGAACCAGGGCAACUGGUGCCAGAUGGGGCCAAGGGAUGUCAUGAAGAAUUGGCCGAGUGACUCUUCCGGGACUGAGUGAGGAGAGAUGUGACCCUCAGGUGUCUGACCACAGUGAUGCCUCUGGGAUUGGAGGUGGCCAAGAAUGUGGGGAAACUGAAUUUUCCUGUCUUUGGACAACUCAGAGACGGCAGAGGAGCUCCAGCCCGCACCUGCUAGGUAGCUGUAGCUGAAGCCUCAAUGCUGAGUAUCCUCCUGUCAGGUCUGGUCUCCUGGUGAGAAGGUGCUCCUGUCUCAGUUGUCAGGAAAGUGGUGACUGAGCCCUGAUCUCCACAGGGAUGCUCAAAACGAUUCCACUUAGGGGCAUACACUGACGUGUUCUGAGGACAGGACCGCUGACACAGGAGCCGGGUCAGCUGUUCGCUAGGGUGGAAGCGGGGAGAUCCUGGGGCUCCCGGGCUCUGAUUUAGUCGGCAGAAAGGCAGGACGCACGGAGCCCCUCCUCUUCUCAGGCGUCAGCGCCUCAUCUGUUCUGGCCGCUGGCUGCCCCCGUUGCCCACUGAGCUUCAGAGUAUCUUCUGUCCAGUGGGGAGGACGGUCCACCCGUGUGCCCACAGGCCCAGCAGGCCACCGAGUCAUGACCCCCCUGACUCGUGUGAGCCCGAGUUCAGACUGUGAGUGGCAUCUUUAUACUUCCAUGCUGAGACCUGCACCUCCGGGAAGCCUUCCCAGGUUAGCGUCCUCUUGGGGCUCUGCUGGCCCCUGUCCUGUGUGUGCGGAGGGAGAGGCAGACACGUAUAGCAGCAAUCCCCGGACGGGAAGCAUGCCUGGUUGGGGCUGGCGGGUGAACGGGUGCGACCGGGUGUGGCAGUGCCCAGGACUGCCAAGGGAGGCUCCUAGGAGGCGGCGUGUGAGGGGAGCACUGGGAAGGAGGAGGCAGAGGAGCAGGAGCAGGGCACCAGGCGAGGGGUCUGCGAGGAGGGUGGGGGAGGCAACAGAUGGGCGACCUGACGACGGGCAACCCACCUGCAGGCAGGUCCCCCCGCACCCCCCUGCCAAAGGCGACCCGGACAGGGGGGCUGGGGGCUGAGCUGGUGGCGUGGGGGGGAGCGGCGGAGGCGCGGCUUGCCCGGCUGUGGGGGCCCCGG